AUACGGAGGAUGCGAGCGUUAUCCGGAUUUAUUGGGUUUAAAGGGUGCGCAGGCGGCCAUUUAAGUCAGCGGUUAAAUCGUGGGGCUCAACCCCAUUCUGCCGUUGAUACUGGGUGGCUUGAUUGCGGCCGAGGUUGGCGGAAUUCGUUGUGUAGCGGUGAAAUGCAUAGAUAUGACGAAGAACACCGAUUGCGUAGGCAGCUGACCAGACCGCAAAUGACGCUCAUGCACGAAAGUGCGGGGAUCGAACAGGAUUAGAUACCCUGGUAGUCCGCACAGUAAACGAUGAAUACUUGUUUUCGGCGAUAUAAUGUCGGAGGCAAAGCGAAAGCGAUAAGUAUUCCACCUGGGGAGUACGCCGGCAACGGUGAAACUCAAAGGAAUUGACGGGG
rnacentral:rRNA from 1 species